rnacentral:tRNA from 1 species
GCGCCUGUGGUGUAAGGCGAACAUCGCUGCCCGGGAAGCGGAAGAUACGGGUUCGAGUCCCGCCUGGCGCA